GUUUAAUUAAUAUUUUAUAAAUUACAGGAGGAUGAAGAGGAAGAUGAAGAAGAAGAAGAAGAUGGUGAUUUAUCUAAAUAUGAUCUUAGCGAAUGGGAUGAUUUUGCGCCAGCGAAAAACAGUACGAACGGAAGUACCAUGUCGUCGGAAGCGCAACGGUCAAGGUAAUUAAUAGCGAAACGGAGAUGAUCGGCGCGAUUCAGGCACAUCCAAUCAAUGAAAGGCUGUACAGAAGGACAGGUUUGACUUGGGUUUCGGGUAUAAAAUUGAUUAUGAUGAUCAGUUGCAGACAGCAUACAGUGUGAUGAGUUUUGCUAAAUAAUGUAUAGUCCCAGAUCCUUAAGACUUAAAGUAUAAGCUUGCUUUUAUUGCGAUUAUAUCUAGAUAUAUCGCGUAAAGACAUCGAAUAGAGAUUAUUUUAAACGUAACAAAUUUUUAAGAAGCGCGAACACGCUUCUCAUUCGAUGUAUGACCUCUUUGUUUUACAGGUUAACAGGAGACUCGAAAGAGACGCAACCAGUUCUUGGCAACUAAGAAAUAUACACAACGCAACAAGAUUUAGUAAUUUAGUACGCACCUUUGGAUAUAUAAAGUGGCCGAUAAUAUGUGACUUAUUACAAAGGAGUCGACUAACAAUAAGCUUUACAUUUAUAAUUGAGCUCAUGACUUCUUGUUGAUCCUAGGGAAGCAAAAUGUUAGGUCUUCUAUUUGCGCGGGUAUACCGUUGUUGACGAUUAGCAGAAUUUACGACAGACGUACUUGGGCGCAAGUAGUAUGUUUUGCUAGAAUGAAAUACAAGAUUGAUAAUUCCAACAUGAAUCUAUAGAAAAAAUUAUACAUACAGAGCUCGUUUUACAAGCUAAAUAUGACGUUGUAGAAAAAAAUCUUACUCCUACAUAAAAGAUGGUGUUAACGCUCUGAGCAAGCCCCGUCGCCGCAGUGUUCUAAGAUUCCCAUUACUUUUAUCACAAACGUAAAAUAUGUCAAUGUGUCACUCUGCUUCGUAUUGCUCAAGCUGCCAGAAGGAAGAAACUAACUAACUUUUCUUCUUUUGUCUCCUUGUGUCUCUCUCUCUCUCUUUUUACGUCAUAUUUUAUCUAUGCAUAAAUUUAUUCGGAUUAAAUAAACACAAUCGUGAAAUGUAGUAUUAAAGAAUCAUUCUCCAAAACAAAGCAAAUAUCUUCUUUUUAAAGAGAGACGGAAAGGGAGAGUACGUUCUCUUGCUUUGACUAUCACAGAUUCGAGUAAAUCGAAAGAAAAAAAUAGCCUAUGCUUACUGUUCGAGAAAAAGAGAAAUUAGAAAGGUUUUCCUUUUUUUAAAUCAGUCACAUUUUGCGGAUUUGUCGCGAACUCCGAUGGCCGUUGUUGAAUCGUAAAACGAUUGUCGAUCAAAUAUCGUACUGACUUCUUGUAAAUAUCUUUAUUUUUCAUUUAUAAUAAAAAUCAUUCAUCAA